rnacentral:antisense_RNA from 1 species
GUCUAUGGCGGACCGUGCGAGGCGGGUUUCGACCCGACCGGUCUUCGUUUGUGUACCGGGAUUCCACCCUUGCACGGUCCGCCUCCCUU